ACCGAUCGCCUGACGCGGCGGGCCGCGAGGAGCGGGGAUGGCCUGGUAAGCGAGCCACUCAGAACGGCGCGCAUAGGGAGGAGAAGGAUAGCGCUUCGCCGCCUGACAUGUCCUGUGUUUCGCCGUAUCGGGCCUACACUAUCCAAGAAUGUCAUUUUAGUUUUGAAGUUUCCCUUAUCAUUUCUUAAUCUUAUCGUUUCUUUACAAUUCUUAUCGUUAUAAAUCACAUUAUUGAGCACGAUUAAAUACGUUUUAACACAAUUAGGUAUGUUAAGCGAGGUAAUUAAUUAAAAGAGCACUACGCAAAACGUAUGCUGUUCAUCGCGAUACCUUUCCGUUUGUUUUGUUAUACGACGCUUCUAUUCAAUUACGCUACAAGACACACUUCGUCGAAGCUAAUAUUAUUUAAUUAAUCAAG